CUUCUCCAAAGAGUUUUGUGUGUAUCGUUCACAACAUAUUCCCCAAAGUCCCUAAUUUCUAAUUUCUAGGGCUCAGAUUCCCCAAAAUCUUCAACAACUUUCAGCUUCAACAAUCACUCAAUUUCCAAUCAAUGGUGACUCCUGAUGUUCUCCCACACGAUCAUUUCUCAUCGUCAUCUCCAUUCACUCCUACCAAAGGUGAUGCGCUCGAGAAGAAGGUUGAAUACCUCAAGAGCUUGAACGGCAGAGAAAUACUCGAGAAUUAGGAAAUGGAGUGUGGGAUUAUCAUGUGGCAAGGAUCGAAUUGCGGUUAUUAGAGCUUCUGGUAGCAUUGGUCCUGUAGGCAUCAUAGCUGAACAAUUCAUCAAAACGAUUAGCAAAGUAAGAGGUAUAAGGCGGUUAUCAUCCGAAUUGAUAGCCCUGGGAUUUGAUGGUCUUGCUUCUGACUUAAUGUGGAGGGAAAUCAAACUAUUGGCUGAAUCUAAGCCUGUAGUUGCAUCAUUGGUUGAUAUGGCGGGCAGUGGAGGAUACCAAAUGGCCAUGUCAGCAAAUGCUAUAGUCUCGGAGAAUCUUACUUUAACGGGUUCAAUUGGUGUAGUCUCAUUUCAAUAUGGAGAAACUAUAUGAAAAGAUUGGUUGCAACGAAGAAGUUGUAUCAAAGGGACGAUAUGCUGAGCUGUAUACAGAUGUUCGCCCAUUCAGACCUGAUGAAGAGAAACUGUUUGUAGAACAAGCCCAAUAUAUGUAUUAACAGUUUCGUGAUGACGCAGCAUGUUCAAGAUCAAUAAGAUGGAGGAGGAAAAUGAUGAUAACGUUGGAAGGUGGAGAAAUGCUAUGAAGGAAGCAGCUGGCCUGGCUGGGAUGGAGUUGAAGAACACUUUCAAUGGGUACAUCCUUCACUUUUGUUUCUUCUAAUUUGUCUUUAAUAAGGACAUCGAUGUCAUCUCAGGUUUCAUGUAGGAUUCUUUUUUCUCUAAUCAUCUAAAGGAAUCAUCUUUAACACACAGACAUGAAGCAAAUUUCAUUCAACAAAUUGUAAUAAAACCAAAAUAUUGUAUUGAAAAGGGUUAUCGAAUAACAAACAGAGGUGCAGUUUAUAUACACCAAAGAUACCAAAAUAAAAGGCUUGACAAAAGGCAAUACAAUCAAUUAGAAUAAAGAGGGGCUGAAAUUAGGGAAGAAUUUUCUUUCCAAUACUCCCUCUCAAGUUGGAGCGUGCGGAUCACAAAUGCCCAACUUGCCAAGCAACAAUACGAGUUGUCGAGAUCCCAGUGGCUUUGUAAACAGGUCCGCAAUCUGGGACUUGGUGUCAAUGUGCAGCGGCACAACUUCAUUUGACUCAACUCGUUCCCUAACAAAAUAGCAAUCCAUUUCGACAUGUUUCGUCCGUUCGUGAAAGACCGGAUUAUUUGCUAUGUGUUUAACUGCCAAAUUGUCACAAAAGAGUUGUGUAGCAUUGUUCUGUUCAACAUUUAGUUCUUUCAGAAGCCAUCGAAGCCAGAGAAUCUCGCUAACAGUUGAUGCCAUGGCUAGGUAUUCUGCCUCUGCCGAAGAGCGAGACACUACCGUUUGCUUCUUUGAUUUCCACGACACCGGUGACCCGCCUAAAAGGAGCAAAUAACCACUCUUUGAUCGUCUCGUGUCGGGGAAGCCGAGCCAAUCCGAGUCGGUAUACCCGACUAAUUUUGUCCCUCCCCCUUUAGAGAGGAGAAUGCCUUGACCCGGCGUCCCUUUCAAAUAUCGUAACACCCUCAUGGCUGCUUCCAUAUGAUUUGCCCGUGGAUCACCAACGAAUUGACUAAGAACGUUGACUGAGUAGGUGAUGUCGAGUCUAGUCGCCUGCAGGUACAGGAGUCUCCCCACGAGUCUACGGUACUGAUUGGCAUCGGCCCGAACUUCUUCAUCAUUCUUUGCAAGUUUUGUAUUUUGUUCCAUUGGGAAGGCACUCGGUUUGCAACCCAUCAUCCCACUGUCUUCAAGAAUGUCAAGUAUGUACUUUCGUUGGCUCAAAAUUAAUCCUUCUCGAGUACGUGUCACCUCAAUCCCCAAGAAGUAUUUCAAGGGCCCGAGAUCUUUGAUGCUGAAUUUGUUAUCAAGAAAGGCCUUGGUCUCUUCAAUCUUCUUAACAUCAUUCCCAGUGAGGAUAACAUCGUCUACGUAUAUGAGAGCCGCAACAAAUGAUUCUUUGGAUUUGAAGAUGAGUAAGGAAUGAUCGGCCCGAGACUGUUCAAAGCCGAUUUGCUGUAGGGAAGUAGUGUACUUUUGGUACCAGUUUCUCGAGGCUUGUUUUAGACCGUAGAGAGAUCUUCUUAACCUACAAACCUUGUUUUCGUUGCCUUUCUCAAAACCUUGUGGUAUCUUCAUAUAUAUUUCUUCAUCCAACUCUCCAUGCAAGAAGGCGUUAUUCACGUCUAGUUGGUUGAUCACCCAGUUUCUUUUGGUAGCUACAGCAAGCAACGUUCGAACGGUAACAAGUUUGGCUACUGGUGCAAAUGUAUCAUGGAAGUCGAUCCCUUCCAUUUGUGUGAAUCCUUUUGCAACCAGCCUGACUUUGUAUCUUUCAAUCUGUCCAUCCGGCUUGUACUUCAGCUUGUACACCCACUUUGACCCUAUAGCAUGUUUCCCUUCUGGCAAAUCUUCAAGGGUCCACGUGCCAUUUUGUUCGAGUGCUCGGAUCUCACGUUUCAUCGCUUCUUUCCAAUUGGGAUUCUGCACAGCUUGUUUAAAGGACUUGGGCUCAUCAUUAGAACUGAUGGCCGAUAAAAAAGCCUUAUGAGAAUUUGUGAAUUUAUCAUAGGAAAUAAAAUUGGCAAUAGGAUGUACCGUAGAGGAACCUUGAUCGGAGUCGGGUGGCGAUUGGUCUAUGGAUGGAGGAAGAUGGACGACGUAGUCGUUGAGGCGAGCUGGUCGAGUUCGGCUUCUUCGUUCUCUAGGUGGCGGUUGCAUCGUUUCUUGGGAGAGUUGUUUGCUACUGUGUUGGUUUCUUCCACUUCAUUUGUGGCCAUAUCAUUCUGAUCAUGAAAGCACCAGGAAGGGAGUUCAAACAUUUCGACACCUUCUUCCUUUUCAAUGCAUUUGUUGAUUUUGACAUAAGGGAAAACAUCCUCAACAAACUUCACAUCUCUUGAGACUACCAUUUUCUUAUUUUUAAUGUCGAAAACUUUGUAUCCCUUUGUUCCGUAAGGGUAUCCUAAAAAUAUACCGGGUCUCCCUCUUUCUUCAAACUUGUCCCCUCUUGUUUCAGUGCUUCGGUAGUAAGAUAAACAACCAAAAACCCUCAUGUGGUCAUAAUUGGGCUUUUGAUUGUAAAUUAUUUCAUAAGGGGUUUUGUUAUUAAUAGUCGUGGAUGGUAGCUUAUUUAUGAUAUAAGCUGCGGUUAGGAUACAUUCUCCCCAAAAGGUUGAUGGCAACUUAGCUUCAAAUUUAAGUGCCCUCGCUGUUUCGAGUAGAUGACGGUGCUUUCGUUCAACGACUCCAUUUUGUUGCGGAGUGUGAGGGCAUGUGGUCUCAAGCAACAUUCCCUCUUCAUUGUAAAAGGUUACCAUUCGGUUAGAGGUAAACUCGCCUCCAUUAUCGCAUCGAAUCCUUUUAACGUUUUUAUUAAAUUGGGUCUUGACCAUUUUGUGGAAACUAAUUAGGCAAUCACUUGCAUCCGACUUUCGUUUCAAUAGGUACACCCAAACUGAGCGACUAAAGUCGUCGACUAUAGUCAAAAAAUAGUUUGCUGCGGUCAGAGAGUGUGUACGGUAUCGACCCCAUAUGUCACAAUGCAAAAGUUCAAAACACUCCUUUGAUUUGAUAAAACUAGUAAUAAAUGGUAGUCUAGUAAACUUUGCUCUAGCACAAGAAUCACAAGUUUCAUCAUUUGUCUUCAAAGAAAUGAAAUCAAAACAAGAAAGUUUACUGUGAGACGCAUGCCCCAAGCGUUUAUACCAAAGAUUACUUCCAACAGCCAUAGCCAUCCUCUCGCCUCCAAUCCUCAUCCGGUAUAGACCAUUCUCGCAUCUACCCGUUCCAAUCAAUUUCCUCGAACUCAAGUCCUGCAUGACAAAGAAAUCCGGGAAAAACAUUAUAGUACAUUGUAGAUCCUUAGUCAAUCGGCUAACGGAUAAUAUGUUACAAGUGAAUUCAGGCACAUAUAAAACAUUUUUAAUCCUUGACCCAUUUGGCAAAGUGCAUGUUCCCCUCCCCUUGACUGCUAUGGAAUCACCAUUAGGGAUGGUGACUGGAACAUCAUGUAUUGUUUUGAAUAUCUCAUGAAGAGCAUUUAAGUUAUGAGUUAUGUACUCGGUGCAACCCGAGUCGAUAAUCCAUCCGUUACCUUCGUCGAAAAUACCUGCCAUAUUAGCCAUAGGUUGAGUAAUUUCCACGUUAGCCAUAUUUUUAGUGGUAAACAUGUGCAAAAAUUGUCGGUACUGUUCUUCAUUUAGCCCCGGUAUGGGGCUGGUUCCACUCUGCCUGAGUUCAUUUGUGUCUUGCUUCGUAUCAACGCAUGCGGCUUUAGCCUUUCCUUUCUCUGUCUUUCCCUUUCCCGGCCACCAAUCCGGGUACCCGAUCACUCUAAAGCACCCGUCACGGCUAUGCCCAUCUUUGUCACAAAGGACACAAUGCUCUAUCUUCUCAUCAGCAACCUUUUUGUUACUCUUGGCUGUGUUUCGGUUUCCAGCAGCCCCGUUUUUCUUCACGAAGGCCUGAAACGCAGCGGUGUCGGUGUUUGUCUUCUUACCCAUGGAUACCACCUUCUGUUGUUCGUCUUCUGAAACGAGGUGAUACGCUUCUCCUAGACUGGGUAUGGGUUUCAUAGCAAGGAUUUGGGUUCUAAUAGUUGAAUACUCGUUGUCGAGUCCGAGCAAACACUCGUACAGCCUUUCCUUAUCCUUGGAGUCGGUUAUCUUUUUGCUCGCACCACAUGUACACCCUGCACAAGAACAUCUUGGAAUGGAGAAAACAACACUUAUCUCAUCCCAGAUGGUUCUCAGCUUGGUGUAAUAAGCCGACACGGAGGAGCCGUCUUGCUUUGUCAUCAUCAGCAAUUGUUUGAGUUCAUAAGCCCUCGGUGCAUUCUCCUUCCCGAAGCGCUCCUGCAAGUCUUUCCAUAUUUCUUCCGCUGAAUUAGCGUAUUUCACACUAACUAUAAUCUCCUUUUCCAUGGCUGUAGUCAGCAACCCUCUAAUCAUGGCGUCACAUCGGAGCCAUGGCAUGUGUUUGGGGUGUGUUUUUCAGGUUUCCGAAGGGUCCCAUCGAUAAAGCCUAUCUUGUUUUUGGCAAACAGAAAGGUCUCCAUCUCUGAAACCCAGUCGAGGUAAUUGCUGUCGUUCAAGGUUUCGUUUACGUGUAACUGUCGUGGAUAAUCAGAUGGGUGGAGAUAGUAUGGUGAGGUGUGGUCUGCGACUGCGUCGCUGGUCGCAUUUGAUUCUGUUUCUUUGUCGCCGGCCAUGGGUGGUAGCCGGUUGGUUUAGGAUUUUGGGGUUUUGUUUGAGCGUGUUUUGGAAGAGCGCUCUGAUACCAUAAUAAAACCAAAAUAUUGUAUUGAAAAGGGUUAUCGAAUAACAAACAGAGGUGCAGUUUAUAUACACCAAAGAUACCAAAAUAAAAGCCUUGACAAAAGGCAAUACAAUCAAUUAGAAUAAAGAGGGGCUGAAAUUAGGGAAGAAUUUUCUUUCCAAUAAAUUGUUGAAGAGGUUUCGCUAAAGCUACAUCUCUUUAAUUCAAUCAUUGAUGAGAAGUUAGUAGGCAUGGUGACCCGGGUAAAGGAUGUAGUUUCAUCGUUAGAAAUUGAUUCCGAUGAUGUUCGUAUGAUAGGGAUUUGGGGGAUGGGAGGUGGUGGUAAGACGACUUUGGCAAGAGCUGUUUUUGAUUCUAUAUCCAUUUUGUUUGAAGCUAAAUGUAACGCCCUGCUUAUUUGUACUUUCCAUUGAUAGCAGUCUUGUUUGUACUUCCAUUCUUGGAAACCUUGUGCUAAUAUUGCAAAUACGUGAAACUUUGUGAAUAAUGCGUUAUGUGAACGAAAUAUUGUUCAAAGAUUCUUGAUUCGUUACUGACCGACACUUGAUGCUCGUUAAAAUAAUUAAUAAUGAGAGUGGAAGUCUCGUAAAA